AUUAUUAUUAUUUUUUAAUUUUUUUUCUUCCGCCUAAAUUUUUUUCUUGUGUAGUAUUGAUGUUUCAAAAGAUGUCGCUUAGAUAUUUGGAAUAUGAUGUCGUAUUGUUUAUACGCUUUAAAAAUUUACAACUGCGUAACAAAAUACUUUAUGUUGUAAGAGUUAUCUCCCCAAACACUGUUUUUCUUGUGGCCACUACUCCUUCGCAACAGUAAAGGAUUACGACAAAUUUAUUUUACCAAAUUGCUCGUUACUUAUUCAGGAUUAGGAUAUUCAUUUCGACCGAAGCU
rnacentral:lncRNA from 1 species